rnacentral:rRNA from 1 species
AUACGGAGGGUGCAAGCGUUGUUCGGAAUUACUGGGCGUAAAGCGCGCGUAGGCGGUUUUGUAAGUCGGAUGUGAAAGCCCCGGGCUCAACCUGGGAAUUGCAUUCGAUACUGCAUGACUAGAGUAUGGUAGAGGGAAGUGGAAUUUCCGGUGUAGCGGUGAAAUGCGUAGAUAUCGGAAGGAACACCAGUGGCGAAGGCGACUUCCUGGGCCAAUACUGACGCUGAGGUGCGAAAGCGUGGGGAGCAAACAGGAUUAGAAACCCCUGUAGUCC